UACGUAGGGUGCAAGCGUUGUCCGGAUUUAUUGGGCGUAAAGAGCUCGUAGGCGGUUUGGCAAGUUGGGUGUGAAAACUCCAGGCUCAACCUGGAGAUGCCACCCAAGACUGCUAUGACUUGAGUCUGGUAGGGGAGCACGGAAUUCCUGGUGUAGCGGUGAAAUGCGUAGAUAUCUGGAGGAACACCGGUGGCGAAGGCGGCAUCCUGGACCGAUAUUGACGCUGAUGCGCGAAAGCCAGGGGAGCAAACGGG
rnacentral:rRNA from 1 species